GAUUUCAACUGAAAAAGUCAUCAAUAACAAAGUUGUAUAAAUCAUCAAGAUCUAUAACUUUUAUUUUGAUCAUUUUUUCAUCCGACAAAGUGAUUUAUAAGAUUAUUCAUAAAAUGUACAUAUCUCUUAUAUUGUUUAUAAAACUAUAAGAGACAUGUACAUUUUGUAAACAAUCUUACAAAUAUUUUUGUCGGAUGAAUAAAUGACCAAAAUAGAAUUUAUAUAUCUUGAUGAGUUAUACAACUUUGUUGUUGAUGACUUUUUCAGCUGAAAUC
rnacentral:pre_miRNA from 1 species